GUGUCAGCAGCCGCGGUAAUACGGGGGGAGCAAGCGUUGUUCGGAAUCACUGGGCGUAAAGGGUGCGCAGGCGGGAGAUUAAGUCGGAUGUGAAAACCUCGGGCUCAACCCGAGGCCUGCAUUUGAAACUGAUCUUCUUGAGUAUCGGAGAGGAAAGCGGAACUCCAGGUGUAGCGGUGAAAUGCGUAGAUAUCUGGAGGAACACCUGUGGCGAAGGCGGCUUUCUGGCCGAAUACUGACGCUCAUGCACGAAGGCUAGGGGAGCAAACAGGAUUAGAAACCCUCGUAGUCC
rnacentral:rRNA from 1 species